rnacentral:tRNA from 1 species
GCCCCUGUAGCUCAAUCGGAUAGAGCAGGUCGGUUCUAACGACAAGGUUGAGGGUUCGAGUCCCCCCAGGGGCG